UCUGGGGUGAGUAAAGGCUAAUGAAUAUAAUUUCGAGAUUGAAAUAUGGACACGUGCACAUUCCUUGUCCAACCACUGUGGCUCUGCUGGAGAUUGUUGUCCAGAGCACUUUGUGUGGCAAAAUGCCAGACAAGAUGAUCAAGAUGAAUAUAAGUGAUCCGAAGACAGGUCCAACUGCAGCUGGUGGUGAGCCUUUGUCUGCGGAGUAAAGGCUGGCUAUUGGUAUACUGACAAAGUUUGGAGUCUUCAUGUCUGACACCUUCAGCUAUGCACUUAUAUUUUCCAGUUUUCACAGAAAAUCGUGUAUGCAGUUUGAUUUGGGCAAUGUUUGACACUGGCCGC